UACAGAGGUCUCAAGCGUUGUUCGGAUUCAUUGGGCGUAAAGGGUGCGCAGGCGGCCAUGUGUGUGAGGCGUGAAAGCCUGGAGCUUAACUCCAGAAUUGCACCUCAAACUACAUGGCUAGAGCAUUGGAGAGGGUAGCAGAAUUCAUGGUGUAGCAGUGAAAUGCGUAGAUAUUCGGAAGAACACCAGUGGCGAAGGCGAACUUACUGGACACAUAUUGACGCUGAGGUGCGAAAGCGUGGGGAGCAAACAGGG
rnacentral:rRNA from 1 species